rnacentral:rRNA from 1 species
AUUGAACGCUGGCGGCAUGCCUUACACAUGCAAGUCGAACGGUAACAGGUUAAGCUGCCGAGUGGCGAACGGGUGAGUCAUACAUCGGAACGUGCCCAGUAGUGGGGGAUAGCCCGGCGAAAGCCGGAUUAAUACCGCAUACGACCUAAGGGUGAAAGGGGGGGAUCGCAAGACCUCUCGCUAUUGGAGCGGCCGAUGUCAGAUUAGCUAGUUGGUGGGGUAAAAGCUCACCAAGGCGACGAUCUGUAGCUGGUCUGAGAGGACGACCAGCCACACUGGGACUGAGACACGGCCCAGACUCCUACGGGAGGCAGCAGUGGGGAAUUUUGGACAAUGGGCGCAAGCCUGAUCCAGCCAUGCCGCGUGCGGGAAGAAGGCCUUCGGGUUGUAAACCGCUUUUGUCAGGGAAGAAAUCCUUUGGGUUAAUACCUCGGGGGGAUGACGGUACCUGAAGAAUAAGCACCGGCUAACUACGUG